rnacentral:rRNA from 1 species
AAGGCUUCGGCCUUAGUGGCGCACGGGUGCGUAACGCGUGGGAAUCUACCCUUAGGUUCGGAAUAACUCAGAGAAAUUUGAGCUAAUACCGGAUAAUGUCUUCGGACCAAAGAUUUAUCGCCUUUGGAUGAGCCCGCGUAAGAUUAGCUAGUUGGUAGGGUAAAGGCCUACCAAGGCGACGAUCUUUAGCUGGUCUGAGAGGAUGAUCAGCCACACUGGGACUGAGACACGGCCCAGACUCCUACGGGAGGCAGCAGUGGGGAAUAUUGGACAAUGGGCGCAAGCCUGAUCCAGCAAUGCCGCGUGAGUGAUGAAGGCCUUCGGGUCGUAAAGCUCUUUUACCAGGGAUGAUAAUGACAGUACCUGGAGAAUAAGCUCCGGCUAACUCCGUGCCAGCAGCCGCGGUAAUACGGAGGGAGCUAGCGUUGUUCGGAAUUACUGGGCGUAAAGCGCGCGUAGGCGGCUUGCCAAGUCAGGGGUGAAAUCCCGGGGCUCAACCCCGGAACUGCCCUUGAAACUAGCAGGCUAGAAUCUUGGAGAGGUCAGUGGAAUUCCGAGUGUAGAGGUGAAAUUCGUAGAUAUUCGGAAGAACACCAGUGGCGAAGGCGACUGACUGGACAAGUAUUGACGCUGAGGUGCGAAAAGCGUGGGGAGCAAACAGGAUUAGAUACCCCUGGUAGUCCACGCCCGUAACGAUGAUAACUAGCUGUCCGGGUUCACAGAAACUUGGGUGGCGCAGCUAACGCAUUAAGUUAUCCGCCUGGGGGAGUACGGUCGCAAGAUUAAAACUCAAAGGAAUUGACGGGGGCCUGCACAAGCGGUGGAGCAUGUGGGUUUAAUUCGAAGCAACGCGCAGAACCUUACCAGCCUUUGACAUCCUGGUCGCGGAUUAGAGAGAUCUUUU